UUUAAUGAAAAAAUUCGGCCUUCUCUUUCAUUUUCAGACCUCAAAAAACCCAGAAAUUUCAGAGGUAGAGAGAGAGAGGAGAGAUAGAGAAAGAAACCAAAUUUUGACCACAAUCUAAGCCCCGAAUCGCGAAGCUCCUGAAGAGAAAAGUGUUGUACGUCGCGUUGCCUUCAAUUUGAGCUAAAAAUCAGCCAAGAAAGAGAGGGUGGAAGUGGUUGCUGCAUAAUUAAGGUAACGACGUGACAUUGGAGGAGAGCAAGUGAACGAUAACAUAGCUAAACGACAAAGGUAGACAGGAAGGUGAGCUUGGUCCAGACCCUUAGUAGCUGUCAACUGAUCGAGAGCACUCCAUUGUCCGGAGGUGCUUAUGGUUCUUCUUUUGGUAUAUAUGCAUAUUUUGGGCAUGACGGAGUCUUGUUCCGUCUAUAUGUUUAGUAUGUCAGUAGAGGCUCGUAGAUACGCAGUGUGGGUCAGAUGGUCUCGCAAGAUGUUAUUAUUAUGUAUAUGUUAUUUUGAUGGCCGAGAGGCAAAUGUAUAUAAGUAUUUAUGUUUUUAUAUAAAAUAUGAUUUUCCUACAA